GGUUCUCACAAUCUUUGACAGCCUUUAUGAGCAAUGUGUAUAAUGAAUUCUGUUUGCAAUUGGAGGGUUACAAUGUGAUUAUUUACUUAACACAAGAUCUGGGGUCUGCAAAGAAGUGAUACACACAAAAUCCUGGAGAAGCUCAGCAGGUCAAGCAGCAUCUAUCUAGAGGAAUAAAGGGUCAACGUUGUACACCAAAACGUCUCGAUUUCUCUAAUUUCAGAUGUCCAGAAGGAGAUGAGAAGCGCUAAAUCCCUGAGGAAAGGACCAUGAGAUGUUGCUUGUGAGUCAAAAGAGUUCCUUUCAGGUCCAAGGAUGACACUGAGCAACCCGUCCAGAAGAAGGAAGCCAUAUCUAAGAGUUGGCGAUGAUAAUUCCUCUUUGAAUAGAUACGAAAAAACGUUGUCAAGCCCUGUAUUAGACAAAACUGUGAAACGCUGCAAACCCUUGAAUAGGCGGAUGUGACUGGGUUACAGUCCCUUUGAUGUAGAUCUAAUUUUGGAACAUAAAAAACACCACAUUUAUCUUGAAGAGGAAUGAUGUGUUGUACGCGCAGAUGGAAAUUUCGAGUACUGAAAAGAUUAAAGUGAAAUUCCACUCCUCAGACCUAAUCAUGGGUUGUAGAUUAUAAUGUCGCUGUAACCAGAUGCGUCCUUCUGCAUCUUGGACCUACUUUCCAAAAGAUUAUAAUAAAGGGAUUAUGUUUGCUUCCUUGGCCAACUGGAAGGAUUUUUAUGUGAAUGAGUCUGGACAACAUGGACCCAUA